rnacentral:lncRNA from 1 species
UUUUUCUUUUUUCUGUUUGCCGUUUUAAACGAUAGAUCACCUUUUAACCAUCUAUCCGACUAUCCGUAUUGUUUAUUUCUUGAUUAACUUGGCUAUCUGGCCGAAGCCUAACUAAUCAUCAGAGCUAGGGAUAAUAUUGACAACGAGCCCGAUCUUAGAUUUUUAAUGAGAUUAAAAACAUGAUCAUAUCUUCAUCUAGUCAAACAUUAAUAAUAUAGUUCCAUGCAGAACUCGAAUCCAUAACCGAUGAAGUUACUCUUUACUCCAA